GAAGGAGGAGCUUGCUUCUCCGGAUGAGUUGCGAACGGGUGAGUAACGCGUAGGUAACCUGCCUGGUAGCGGGGGAUAACUAUUGGAAACGAUAGCUAAUACCGCAUAACAGUAGAUAUUGCAUGAUAUCUGCUUGAAAGGUGCAAUUGCAUCACUACCAGAUGGACCUGCGUUGUAUUAGCUAGUUGGUGAGGUAACGGCUCACCAAGGCAACGAUACAUAGCCGACCUGAGAGGGUGAUCGGCCACACUGGGACUGAGACACGGCCCAGACUCCUACGGGAGGCAGCAGUAGGGAAUCUUCGGCAAUGGACGGAAGUCUGACCGAGCAACGCCGCGUGAGUGAAGAAGGUUUUCGGAUCGUAAAGCUCUGUUGUAAGAGAAGAACGAG
rnacentral:rRNA from 1 species